rnacentral:rRNA from 1 species
GAUGAACGCUGGCGGCGUGCCUAAUACAUGCAAGUCGAGCGAACGGACGAGAAGCUUGCUUCUCUGAUGUUAGCGGCGGACGGGUGAGUAACACGUGGAUAACCUACCUAUAAGACUGGGAUAACUUCGGGAAACCGGAGCUAAUACCGGAUAAUAUUUUGAACCGCAUGGUUCAAAAGUGAAAGACGGUCUUGCUGUCACUUAUAGAUGGAUCCGCGCUGCAUUAGCUAGUCGGUAAGGUAACGGCUUACCAAGGCAACGAUGCAUAGCCGACCUGAGAGGGUGAUCGGCCACACUGGAACUGAGACACGGUCCAGACUCCUACGGGAGGCAGCAGUAGGGAAUCUUCCGCAAUGGACGAAAGCCUGACGGAGCAACGCCGCGUGAGUGAUGAAGGUCUUCGGAUCGUAAAACUCUGUUAUUAGGGAAGAACAUAUGUGUAAGUAACUGUGCACAUCUUGACGGUACCUAAUCAGAAAGCCACGGCUAACUACGUG